AGUAAAUAGAUACCCCGGUAGUCCACACUGUAAACGAUGAGUGUUAAAUAUUGGGUAUAAAUACUCAAAUGUUACAGCUAAACGCGUCAAACACUCCGCCUGGGGAGUAUAAUCGCAAGGUUGAAACUCAAAGGAAUUGACGGGGACCCGUACAAGCGGUGGAGCAUGUGGUUUAAUUCGAAAAACAACGCGCAGAACCUUACCAGCUCUUGACAUUAAAUUUGAAUCACGAGAGUGAUUCAUUAUAACAGUAAUUGUUAAGUUUAAUACAGGUGUUGCAUGGCUGUCGUCAGCUCGUGUCGUGAGAUGUUGGGUUAAGUCCUAUAACGAGCGCAACCCUUAUCACUAGUUGCUAAUCAUUUAUUGAUGCACUCUAGCGAAACUGCCUGUGAUAAACAGGAGGAAGGUGGGGAUGACGUCAAGUCCUCAUGACCCUUAUGGGCUGGGCUACACACGUGCUACAAUGGUAAUGACAAUAGGAAGCAAUGACGCGAGUCGGAGCAAAACCUCUAAACAUUACCUCAGUUCAGA
rnacentral:rRNA from 1 species